rnacentral:rRNA from 1 species
GACGAACGCUGGCGGUAUGCUUAACACAUGCAAGUCGAACGCGAAAGGGACUUCGGUCCUGAGUAAAGUGGCGCACGGGUGAGUAACGCGUGGAUAAUCUGCCCUUAUGAUUGGAACAACAGUUGGAAACGACUGCUAAUACCGGAUACGCUCAAAAUGAACUUUUUGAGGAAAGAUGACCUCUGCUUGCAAGUUAUCGCAUAAGGGUGAGUCCGCGUCCCAUUAGCUUGUUGGCGGGGUAACGGCCCACCAAGGCAACGAUGGGGAGCCGAUUUGAGAGGAUGAUCGGCCACACUGGAACUGAAACACGGUCCAGACUCCUACGGGAGGCAGCAGUGGGGAAUAUUGCGCAAUGGGCGAAAGCCUGACGCAGCGACGCCGCGUGAGGGAUGAAGGUUUUCGGAUCGUAAACCUCUGUCAGAAGGGAAGAAACUACGCUGUGCUAAUCAGCAGUGUACUGACGGUACCUUCAAAGGAAGCACCGGCUAACUCCGUGCCAGCAGCCGCCGUAA